rnacentral:rRNA from 1 species
UACAGAGGUGGCAAGCGUUGUUCGGAAUUACUGGGCGUAAAGGGCGCGUAGGCGGUUCGUUAAGUCCUGUGUGAAAUCCCCCGGCUCAACUGGGGAACUGCACAGGAAACUAGCGGGCUUGAGUUCGGGAGAGGGAAGCGGAAUUCCAGGUGUAGCGGUGAAAUGCGUAGAUAUCUGGAGGAAUACCGGUGGCGAAGGCGGCAUCCUGGACCAUUACUGACGCUGAGGCGCGAAAGCUAGGGGAGCAAACGGG